CCCUGCUUUCUGCACAGGUGACUGGAGUUGACUGGUGGGCGUGGUACACACCUGAGGCUCAUUCUGUGGUUUGCCUGGCUGCGCUAUAAGAGGAGCUCUCUGACAGCUGGAGGAUGCCAGAGUGUUAACCUUGUGUGAACGCUCCCUCGACUCUAAACCUGCUCCGGGCGUUUCCCCAGUGCUCGCCUGGUGUCUCCAGCUGAUCGCUGAUCACUGCUCCCAACGGCGCAGCUUGGAUCCCGCACGAGUUUCCCCGGCCCGCUCAUCGGUCACCCAGUCACCGGAUCACCUCACCCAGGCAGCGCUGAGUCCGCUCCUCCACACCACCUCCCCAGUGCGCUUUCUGAGCUCAGUGCUCGUGCAAACCCCGGUCCCGUGACUCUGCCUGACGCUGACUCAUUGUUUAGUUUUCUCGUU